UACGUAGGCAGCGAGCGUUGUUCGGAGUUACUGGGCGUAAAGCGUGCGUAGGCGGUUUUGUAAGUUUGGUGUGAAAUCUCCCGGCUCAACUGGGAGGGUGCGCCGAAAACUGCAAGGCUGGAGUGUGGGAGAGGUAGGCGGAAUUCCUGGUGUAGCGGUGAAAUGCGUAGAUAUCAGGAGGAACACCUGUGGUGGAGACGGCGUACUGGACCAUGACUGACGCUGAGGCACGAAAGCGUGGGGAGCAAACAGG
rnacentral:rRNA from 1 species